rnacentral:rRNA from 1 species
GAUGAACGCUGGCGGCGUGCCUAAUACAUGCAAGUCGAGCGAACAGACGAGGAGCUUGCUCCUCUGACGUUAGCGGCGGACGGGUGAGUAACACGUGGAUAACCUACCUAUAAGACUGGGAUAACUUCGGGAAACCGGAGCUAAUACCGGAUAAUAUAUUUAACCGCAUGGUUCAAUAGUGAAAGACGGUUUUGCUGUCACUUAUAGAUGGAUCCGCGCCGCAUUAGCUAGUUAGUAAGGUAACGGCUUACCAAGGCGACGAUGCGUAGCCGGCCUGAGAGGGUGAUCGGCCACACUGGAACUGAGACACGGUCCAGACUCCUAAGGGAGGCAGCAGUAGGGAAUCUUCCGCAAUGGGCGAAAGCCUGACGGAGCAAAGCCGCGUGAGUGAUGAAGGUCUUCGGAUCGUAAAACUCUGUUAUUAGGGAAGAACAAAUGUGUAAGUAACUAUGCACGUCGUGACGGUACCUAAUCAGAAAGCCACGGCUAACUACGUG